AUCGGGAGAACUGGGCUUCCAGUGCCGAAGGAGCAACCGCCCCCGGAAACUCUCAGGCAAAGGGACCGAUCG
rnacentral:ncRNA from 1 species